rnacentral:rRNA from 1 species
GAGUUUGAUCGUGGCUCAGAUUGAACGCUGGCGGCAUGCCUUACACAUGCAAGUCGAACGGCAGCAUGAUCUAGCUUGCUAGAUUGAUGGCGAGUGGCGAACGGGUGAGUAAUACAUCGGAACGUGCCCUGUAGUGGGGGAUAACUAGUCGAAAGAUUAGCUAAUACCGCAUACGACCUGAGGGUGGAAAGUAGGGGGUACCGGCAAGGCCUCAUGCUAUAGGAGCGGCCGAUGUCUGAUU